rnacentral:rRNA from 1 species
UACGAAGGGUGCAAACGUUGCUCGGAAUCAUUGGGCGUAAAGCGCACGUAGGCGGCUUCGCAAGUCGGAUGUGAAAUCCCAUGGCUCAACCAUGGACGUGCAUCCGAAACUGCGGAGCUUGAGUACUGAAGAGGAUCGCGGAAUUCCCGGUGUAGAGGUGAAAUUCGUAGAUAUUCGCAAGAACACCAGUGGCGAAGGCGGCUCACUGGCCCGGUACUGACGCUGAGGUGCGAAAGCGUGGGGAGCAAACAGG